rnacentral:rRNA from 1 species
GACGAACGCUGGCGGCGUGCUUAACACAUGCAAGUCGAACGGUGAAGCUCCAGCUUGCUGGAGUGGAUCAGUGGCGAACGGGUGAGUAACACGUGAGCAACCUGCCCCUGACUCUGGAAUAAGCGCUGGAAACGGCGUCUAAUACUGGAUACGAGAAGGGUCCGCAUGGGCACUUUCUGGAAAGUUUUUCGGUUGGGGAUGGGCUCGCGGCCUAUCAGCUUGUUGGUGAGGUAAUGGCUCACCAAGGCGACGACGGGUAGCCGGCCUGAGAGGGCGACCGGCCACACUGGGACUGAGACACGGCCCAGACUCCUACGGGAGGCAGCAGUGGGGAAUAUUGCACAAUGGGCGAAAGCCUGAUGCAGCGACGCCGCGUGAGGGAUGACGGCCUUCGGGUUGUAAACCUCUUUCAGCAGGGAAGAAGCGAAAGUGACGGUACCGGCAGAAGAAGCACCAGCUAACUACGU